rnacentral:rRNA from 1 species
CGCUGGCGGCGUGCUAACACAUGCAAGUCGAACGGACGGAUAGAGACGGAGGCCUUCGGGCGGAAGACUUUAUACGUUAGUGGCGGACGGGUGAGUAACGCGUGGGUAACCUGCCUUACAUAGGGGGAUAACGAUUGGAAACGAUCGCUAAUACCGCAUAAGACCACAGUACCGCAUGGUACAGAGGUAAAAACUCCGGUGAUGUAAGAUGGACCCGCGUCUGAUUAGCCAGUUGGUGGGGUAACGGCCUACCAAAGCGACGAUCAGUAGCCGACCUGAGAGGGUGAUCGGCCACAUUGGGACUGAGACACGGCCCAAACUCCUACGGGAGGCAGCAGUGGGGAAUAUUGCACAAUGGGGGAAACCCUGAUGCAGCGACGCCGCGUGAGUGAAGAAGUAUUUCGGUAUGUAAAACUCUUUAAGCAGGGAAGAUAAUGACGGUACCUGCAGAAUAAGCACCGGCUAAAUACGUGCCAGCAGCCGCGGUAAUACGUAUGGUGCAAGCGUUAUCCGGAUUUACUGGGUGUAAAGGGAGCGUAGGUGGUUUGGCAAGCCAGAAGUGAAAACCCGGGGCUCAACCCCGCGGAUUGCUUUUGGAACUGUUGGACU